rnacentral:rRNA from 1 species
UCUCAAGGUGACCUCGGAU